CGCUAUACAUGCAAGUCGAGCGACGAAGGGCCUUCGGGCCCCUGAAAGCGGCGAACGGGUGAGUAACACGUGGGUAACCUACCCUCGGUUUCGGGAUAGCCCGGGGAAACUCGGAUUAAUACCGAAUGGCCUCCAGGGUCCCCGGGUCCUGGAGAAAAGGUAGCUUAGGCCUCCGACCGAGGACGGGCCCGCGGCCGAUUAGCUUGUUGGCGGGGUAACGGCCCACCAAGGCGACGAUCGGUAGCUGGUCUGAGAGGACGAUCAGCCACACUGGGACUGAGACACGGCCCAGACUCCUACGGGAGGCAGCAGUAGGGAAUCUUGCGCAAUGGGCGAAAGCCUGACGCAGCGACGCCGCGUGCGGGACGAAGGCCUUCGGGUUGUAAACCACUUUCAGGAGGGACGAAGCCACUCGGGUUAAUAGCCCAGAGGGUGACGGUACCUCCAGAAGAAGCCCCGGCUAACUACGUGCCAGCAGCCGCGGUAAUACGUAGGGGGCAAGCGUUGUCCGGAUUUAUUGGGCGUAAAGAGCGUGUAGGCGGCCAUGUAGGUCCGAUGUGAAAACUGGGGGCUCAACCUCCAGCUGUCAUUGGAAACCAUGUGGCUAGAGUCCGGAGGAGGAGAGUGGAAUUCCUGGUGUAGCGGUGAAAUGCGCAGAUAUCAGGAAGAACACCUAUGGCGAAAGGCAGCUCUCUGGGACGGUACUGACGCUGAGACGCGAAAGCGUGGGGAGCGAACAGGAUUAGAUACCCUGGUAGUCCACGCUGUAAACGAUGGGCGCUAGGUGUGGGCGGUGUC
rnacentral:rRNA from 1 species